GCAACUCGUUAGUUUUGAUCGAUUCUUUUAUAAAAACAGUUACAUUUCUCGAAACGAACGAUCUUUUACUCAGUUUCAAUAUAGAAAAAAAUCUAUAUUUGAUUGUUUCGUGUAAAAUACAUACAGGAUAUUUUCUAUCGGUCAGGUAAAUUCAUAAAAUUCGCUUAUUUAAUAUACAAGUUACUUUAACGUUUACGUAACUAAACUAUAACACGCAUAUUUAAUAUAACCAACGUUCGAUGACGUCAGGUAAGCGCUCUUAAAAUGGCGUCGGAUAAACGAAAUAUUACGAAAUUCAGUAAAAAUUGCACUGUCGGUCAAUCGGAAACUUGGUCGGAAAAUACUGGACGAACCAGAGGAAUGAUUUGUUCUAGUUUUGGGGGUGGCGACGUUCGAUUAUAGAAAAUCUCGCUUCCAACCCCUUGUGGAGAAUGGAAACCGAAGACAGAGGGUGAUAGGGAGUCUCUCGAUCCCAAUCCGUCGUCAUUCCGGGGAUAGAAACGUAAAAAAUGCAGAUAUUUAGCCUUAAAAUUCAAAAAGAAUCCAUGACGUCAAUCGCAUUGGAAUUCGUUACGCGCUUUUCUAAUCUCCAUAGAAACGGCAACAAUUGCUGUUUCUAUUGUUGCAACACGAUUUUGCGUCACUUUGCACGUUUUUCGCUUGCUGUGAGGACGUGUGCGCUCUUUGCUCCUGUUUUCGCUGUGUUUUUUGCCUUCUUCAGUGUUCUUUUCUACCGGAACGUGGUUUUAAGAAGACUUGUGGACGCCGACGUUAUACCAAGUAAGAUUUUAACUAGAAUUUAUCUAGCUGUAAGAUUUUAUUUUCGUUUCGUUUAGUCCAACUUUCGGAGACGACAUCGGCGUUUAAAUCUGCCGUCGCUUGUGAAUUAGGACUUUUAAACGAACGACCGAAGCGCCGAAAACGGAUUAAGUAUUUGCUCAUUGGUUUAUUCUCGUAAUUAAUUCAUUUAUAUUUUAUAAACACGGUCAAAGAAUAAGGAUUAUUUAUAGAAAUUCAAUUAAAAAUUACUUAAUACUAACUUUAAAUACGAAUUCCAUCGUAAUUUUAACUAAAAUAUACUCUGGUAACAUUGAUGGACGGAGACCGUAUUCUGAAGCAUGGGAUGUUCGUUCGACAGGUCAAAAACUUCGCCCUUUGACCUCCGACUUCUCCAUGCAAUUUAUGUAUUAGUUACAACGCUUUUCAAUGGCUUAUUUUGCCAGAAUUAAAUUGUCUGCAAACACAUCUAAUACUAAUACACUUAACAGUUAUCUAUACAGGCUGGACACAAAGAAUUCUUUUCCUUAGGCUCUUUGUCUCUUUUCACAAGGUGGUCUGAGUGCAGUCGAUCUUCCACACUUACGUAACAUUUAAGUGGCACAAUGCUUUGUGCCACUUAAACGUUCGUGUCCCGAAUGGCGAGUUGGGCUGUGGGCACGUUUCACUUCUUCCUACGUUUGUCUUGUGUUUCGGUCGACUCGUUCGCAAUUUCUUUGCACGAAACUCUUUUAAAUGCCGUCGUUGCGUUUAUGUGACGUACACGUUAGGGUAAAUUGCUCUAGAACGAAACACUUGUUACGACUCGGGCUCGAAUGCCUUUUCCUCAUGGCUACGUGCGGCGUGUCUUUAAUUUACUGUCGUACAAAUACAAAUUACACGUAAGAGAGUUUCUUCGUUCCGGGUCGGUCGUCUCUACUGCAAAUACAGUUGGAACGUUCUAGCAAUUUCCGGUUGCUAUCCGAAUUCCGAUUCGUCGUGAGUAUAAUCUUGAACUUUUUCUGCGUUAAUCGGCCCCAGAAGACAUCUCGGCACAUCGUUCGAUGGUCCGAUUCGAAUCUUUUAGAUUUAAAAAGGCAGCUGCGAAUGAAGAUGUUGGAGUGGUUUCGCCGGAGGUUCCGACGGAAGAAUGCGGUGGCGCCGGAGGGAGGGGGUUCCUCGGACGGCUCCAAUGAGACCCGGUAGUUCGGUGUCGUUGGGGACCUCCGACCGAGAGGCAGACGACAGACUUUACCAAAUGCUUGUGGCGUGGAGCUCUUCCGAAGACGCUCCCGUCUUCGGGGGAGUUCUGAGUCCAUUCCACUUGGUGAAUGUCGUCAGGAGUCAGCCAGCCACAGGCCUUGUUGUGGAAGACAUAGAGAGUGACGAGUUCUCUUGGAGUUCGACGUCACUUUCUACUUUCGCGAGGUCUGCCUCUGCGUCCGCGCUCGCGCGCUCGUCGCCAUCGUCUUUCGGAAGUCGGGACGGGGAAGCAUCGGAGGAGAGCGCCGCCGAAGUCGAGGAACCGCGAUUUUGUUGCUGCGGAUGGCUGCGGUUUCCUCGGCCUAGGCGGUGAUCUUCUUCGAUUUUCCCCAACUCGUCCUUUUCACCCGGAUGCGACAUUCUGACCGGAUUCGACACUUUCACCCGGACAUGACCUCUUUACUCGGACGUGACCUUCUCUUACCCGGAUGUUCUCACGGACUUGUCUCCUGAACGUGACACUCGAUCGACGACAACGGAUUUGACUUCCGAUUGUGACCACCCGGACUUGACACGUUUCUUCACCGGACGCGACAUUCGGCCGACCUUUCUUCCCAAACAGUUGUUACGAGGAUUGAGCUUCCGGUUGGUUAGGUUAGGUUAGGUUAGAUUAAGCUAGGCUAGGUCAGGUCCUUCGCUCUCUUCAUGACACUGUUCGGGAAGAAAGACCUGAUAAAGGUAAUAAUGUUGACCUUAGAUAAUAAAUGAAUCAACUUCUCCUUUUCUCACUGUCUUUGUGUUUUGUAGGAACAUUUGGGAGGGAGAAGGAUCUCCCUCCCCAACUUUACCACGAAGAGGACGAAGUGGCCAUUUAGGGUACAAGUGAAUGUUUUCCGAAAUCUCCGAUGACAUACCGAAGAUGUUCUUCGAUCGCACACACACACAGGCACGGAUAUAACAUCACUGUACACGAAGAUAUACACCGUUUAACCUUUACUCGAAUUCUCGCACUCAUGCAUUUACACGUCAAGCGCCACGUUCUAUGUAAUUCCACACAAUGAAACAAC
rnacentral:lncRNA from 1 species